GAAUGAAUCUUUAUUUGGACUAAAUAACCUCUGCUUAGUUACUUAUGGUCUUUUCCUUUUUAUUGGUCUUCUCGAGUUUGGGUUCAUCUUAUCUCCGCAUGACUAAGUGAUUGUUUCAAAGUGUUACAGACUUUGCCUUUGUGUUCUUAAAUCUAUUUUGCCAUUUUUGAGAAAUGUUAGAUUAGUUGAAAUAUAAGGUCCAUUUUUUUUAAUAUUGUGUUUCUCAGUCGAAUUGAUAUGAACAUGUCCUAUUGUUUUUCUAAUCGGCUUUUUAUCAUUUAAGAUUCAUGACAUGUUUUCUGUUGUUAACUAUGUAUUAAUUUUCUUCAUAUUUUCUUUGUUUGAUCAUCUAAUAACUACCUUCAGUUUUCUAAUUUGAUUGAUCAUGUGUUGCCUUCCUUUACUCCACCUCCUUUUUUUUUUUUUGAUAAUAUAUUAAUAAGCUUUACCUUUCCUUCUUUGCAUGGAUAUUGAUUGAGCUCCACGUGGACUCUUUUCCCUUUGCAUAUUCAUCAUGGACCAUUGAGGUCCACCCUUUUGAGUGCCCGAAGAUUGAAUCCUAAGUUGAUUACAUGGAGCAUAAACACGAGGAGUUGGAAGAAAGAAAAACAGGUCAAAGUCUCAUCAGUGAAGCCACUAAGAGACUUGAAUAGUCUCAUAUUUUUCAUUGCUUUAUUUAUCUUAGCUAUCUCUUUAUUUGUUUAUUCAUUUAUUCAUCUGAGUGUCGAAGCCAAAGUUGUAAACUAAUAUAGGUGAAGCAGAUUUUGGGCCAAAAGGGCUACAAAAUAUAAUUUACGAUAGGUUAUGAGCCUAAUGCCCAAUAUUUAGAUUAGGAUAGGUGAUGAUGGGUCGAAAGUUCAAAUUAGCUUAGGACAGGUUUAUUGAUUUGGGCCUAAUAAUUCUCUACUAAGUUGCCAUAUUUAUUUUAUGCAAGUCUUCUUUUUUUCUAAAAUCACUUUCUUUUCAAAAACCAACUUCUCUUUUUCAAAGUUAGUUAAAGGUGGUUUUUAAAUUGUCCGGCUAACUGCAAGUUAGCGGACAUUUUAGGUGCCUUUAAAAUAUUUCUAAGAUGUUAAUAAGAACCUCUUACCUAGGAUUUUUUAAAAGACCAAGUCUUUUUCUGUUUUAAGACUUAGGAUUUUUCUUAAAAGUUUUUUUAGUUUCUUUUCAAAUAAAUAUAGUGGCGACUUUAUUUGUUUUGAAAUUUUCUUUAAAGUGUCGAAGUAGUUUUAAAAUUUGAAAUCAAUGUUUUCCAACCCUUCGAGUUAAGCAGGGAUAAAGCAGAAAUGGAGACUCUGCUGGGGACUUUAACUGUUUAUGUGUUUAUAUGUUUCAAUUCUACAGUAUUUGAUAACAUAGUCCCUCAUGAUGAUUAGUAAAUUGUUUUGGAAUUUCAUGGAUGUCUCGGCCCCUAUUAAUUAAUUUCAAAUAAUGUUUUGGAAAUACGACGGUUUAUCCGCACGUAAGGCGUUCGGUGGCUGUUCGUAUUUUCAAACCCAAGUUUUUUGCUUGGGCGUUUGUGUCUAAACCCACUCUAGACACCUAGGAUAGAGCGAAACCAAAAACCUGAGUCUAGGAUGACCCAAUACUUGAGGGGGUAUUGGGCCUAUUAGAAGACUUGCCCUACGUCUAUUGACCUUGAGUCAAUUAUAGACAAAUCAUAUUUAUGUGCUGAAGAAAUAUAUAUUUGUUUAAUUCAAUUCAUUAUCCUUUAGGGGUAAGGGGAAGGCUUACUCUAUUUACUUUCACAUGAGGAUGCUUUAAUCAUCCACCAAUUAAGGAGAAAACUUAAAGCGAACCAGGCAAGAGGUUGAUUAAUCUGGACAAUUGCAUGAUUUUCCAAACUAAUGAUCUAUGAGUAUGAAGCACAGUUAUACGAAAAUUGCUUGAUCAUCAACAAAUGUUGUCUAUGACAAAAAGUAGACAAAGUUAAGUGGGUGAAGUUCAGUGAAGGAGCAUCUAGUUUUUGUAUCCCCUGCGCGGGACUUGUUCUUUUUUUCAUGUUAUUUCCUUUUACCUAAAGAAUUGUAUCCCUCUUAGGUUACUUUUGUAGGCAUUUGUGCCCUCUUUAUAUAUAUCUAUAUAGAUAUGGGGGAUAAUGGAUUGGUUUUAAAAAGUAUAUACUUCCUUCAAAUACGUUAGGCCAACCUUUGUCUCAAAAAGGCCAUCCAAUUAGGAUGCACGUUUAUUACAAUAUGCUUGUAUGAUAUAACUAUUUAUGUGCUUAUACGUGUUAUGUUGAUUCGAAUUAAAGGCAAUUUGAUCCGAUCUUAUUUUCCAUAGAGCAUCUCUAGGCAAAAAUAUACCCACUAUAGAAAAGUCCGGUCAAAUAUAUUCCAAGUCUCCCAAGUCUCUCAAAAAAGUUUGCAAUUAUUUUCUAAAGCGUUAUUCUACCAUUUUCAGGAAGGCUGACUAUAGACUUAGAAGAAGUCAUUGUAGGAGUUAGACCAAAUAGACGAUGUACUAAA
rnacentral:lncRNA from 1 species